rnacentral:rRNA from 1 species
UACGUAGGGGCCAAGCGUUGUCCGGAUUUAUUGGGCGUAAAGAGCUCGUAGGCGGUUGGGUAAGUCGGGUGUGAAAACUCCAGGCUCAACUUGGAGAUGCCACCCGAUACUGCUCUGACUUGAGUUCGGUAGGGGAGUGGGGAAUUCCUGGUGUAGCGGUGAAAUGCGCAGAUAUCAGGAGGAACACCGGUGGCGAAGGCGGGUCUCUGGGCCGAUAUUGACGCUGAGGAGCGAAAGCGUGGGGAGCAAACAGG